rfam:Schizopora paradoxa strain KTC8140 unplaced genomic scaffold SCHPAscaffold_00031, whole genome shotgun sequence.
GUUUCGAUGGUCUAGUUGGUUAUGAUUUCUGUCUAACAUCCAAACACAGAAGGUCUCAGGUUCGAGUCCUGGUCGAAACA